rnacentral:lncRNA from 1 species
UUUCUUCAUGUUAAAGAGCACAAAUUAAAUUUGUUGGAUUUUGUGAUUUUAUGAAUUAUCUAACAAAUAGGAUGGUGAACCAGAUUUUGGUUACCGAGCAAAAGUCUGCACAUUAAAGAGGAAACUGACUAACAAUCAAUGGUCAUCAUCUGGGCCGCAACAAGAGCAUGUAAUUAAAAAGAAAUCUGACACUGUAAGGCUUGAAGAAAGAAGUUAUGCUGACGCCCGUCACACGCUUAUUUCCGCCAACAGUAAAGGCUCGAGAGGUAUUUGUGUAUAUGAAUUGUCUUUUAGUGUUAACAGGUUAGAGGCAGGUUUGCAAAACUGAAUACUAUCAACUGAUUUAUGAAUAUUAUGCCUUUUGUACGGAAAAGUAAUCUGUGAGUGAUUGUUUUGGAGUUUUGCAAUUGUGAUCCUUUUGCGGUUAAGCGUUUCCCGCCGUCGUCUUAGCUGUUCUCGUGUAUUGACAUAACUGUCGCAUUGGAUUAGAUCUUCCAGCAAAUCUUUUCUUAUUAUAUCAAAUUCGGAAAUUGAUUGCUUAUCUUGAAAAUAUAGCAAGUCACUUUCCUUUAGAAAGAAAUCUAAUUUGGGACUUCGCGGUCGUAAAAUUCUUGUUUUCGUAUUGAUGUAUGCAUGUACGGGAAACCAAGAUUCGUUGGAAUCGGUGCAGACGAUCAAUAAUAGCCAUGCCAUUUCUUUUGGAGAUGAUAUCAAGGGAAAAAGUUGCGUAAUUAAUGGGCAAUUGAAUGGAAUACUAUCAAACUCCAGCUUUCGCUUUGUUUCAAUAUAAGCCAUGAAAUUUCGUGUAACAAUUGCAAUCCAGUUGUUACAAUGGUCAAAAGUAUAUAUAUCGUCUGGAGUAACGAAGUAUAGACGAAUGUCUCCAAAGUGUUGUUUCGCAGCUUUGACUAGGAGCUUAGAGUACAAUCCAUUAUUGCAUCGCUCUUCUAAAUAACUACUAACAGCCGUCCAUAAUGCGCUUUGUAAAAAGGAUGGGUAAUAAUGAUAUAGCAUCACAUGAUGAAUCAAAACUUCUAAUGGUGCGUUAUUGUUUGUAAGCAUUUCGCUUAAUUCUUUGUAAGAAUUUUCAUAAGUUGACAACAGUCUGUAGCUGUUGUAUUUUAAAAGGGGUUCGUAAGGCAUGAACUCUAGGAUACGAGGGCACGUAGACAUUCCUGUACUAUUUUCACAAUAGCAUGAUUCUAAAAGGAUUCGAUUUGCAUUGUUUCUUAUAAUAUAGCACAUGCCGUAAAUGAAAGGAUUAGUAGAGUAUCUAUUAUUCUUCAUGCCAAUACUGUUUGCAUUAUCCAUUAGAAUUAAUUUUGAAACCCAUUCCAAAGAACUGAGCGGACAAAGAAGUUUGUUAUACGGAGUAUCUGCCACUACAUAUGGUAUCUCUCUAACUGGAUAACUUGGAAUCUCUAUUUUCCAGCGGGAGUUGUAAGUAUAUUCUUUGUAAACAACUGAUUCAUUUGUUUCUUCACCCCAAAUCUCUUCCUCGUCGUUCGCAAAACAGCAAGUGAACAUCGUAAAGAGAUUUUUAAUUUUAUUAGAACCUUUGAAGAAUUCCCAAAUUUUUUUAUUCUCUUUUUUAGGUGCACCUUCGACCGAAGUUAUAACAUGCGCAUCACAUCCAAAUUUUUUAAGAAGUUCCGGACUUGUUCUAGCACAAGAACUAAAGGACAUUUCUUUAAUUUCAUGAUAUUUGUAUUCCUCGUAUAAAAUUUCGGCGUCCUUUCCUUUAUUAAUAUCUAAUUUACACUCUUCCAUACUUUGUUAACUCGAUGAUCAUAUGGUUAAUUGAUUCGAAUUUUAAUCGGAUUUGAAAUUAAAUUUUUUAAAAUAGUAGUUGAAAAGGUACUUAGCACUCAAAAAAUUUCUUCUAAUUUCCGUAUGUCAA